CCAGGGCCUAAGGAAUUUUUCAGGUUAUGAGAGAUCCUGUUGGCUGCCCCUGCUUACUAAGGUCCUGCUGACCAGCUUCCUCAGUGAAGCCCUCUUGGUGAUUCAUCUUGCUUCUCUCGCUUUUAUCUGGAACUUGCUGGCUCUAAAGAAGAGGAAUCCAGAAACAUGUAGUUGCAGUGGCUCCACGAUGCCAGGGUGAAUUUCCUCCCCUACGACUCCACUGUUACCAACUCAGACUUCCAUGCUCUGCUUUGGAUAUCUCUGGAUGAAAAAGAUAGUCAGAAGUGAUCUGCACUUGAAUGGUCAUGAACCUGGUCAGAAGAAGAGAGGACCUCCAGAUCUGGAGGGCACACUGAGGUUGGCUGGUCCAAACUUCCACCUAAAAUAGACUGCCAUAUGGUUUCCACCUGAAGGUUUCUCAUGAGGUGGAGUUUUCCAACUCACUGUUGCAUAAAUUUGUAUUAUAAAAUCCUUUUUAA